AUAAAUAAGCUAAAAGAUGCGAUAAAUCGAUCCCCAAUAGCUCUCCUGUUGAAUGCUGAACUACAGCUUGGCGAGAGGUGGAAGGAAAGUCAACGGGGGAGCUGCAGCGCAUCGCAAGGAAGCAAAGUAAGUAAUUUUAAUUCAAUCUAAGAUAC